rnacentral:rRNA from 1 species
CCUACGGGAGGCAGCAGUGAGGAAUAUUGGUCAAUGGACGAGAGUCUGAACCAGCCAAGUCGCGUGAAGGAUGACUGCACUAUGGGUUGUAAACUUCUUUUAUAUGAGAAUAAAACAGGGUAUGCAUACCCUCUUGUAUGUACCAUAUGAAUAAGGAUCGGCUAACUCGGUGCCAGCAGCCGCGGUAAUACGCAGGAUCCGAGCGUUAUCCGGAUUUAUUGGGUUUAAGGGGAGGGUAGGUGGUUUGUAAAGUGAGUUGUGAAAGUUUGCGGCUCAACCGUAAAGUUGCAGUUGAAACUGGCAGUCUUGAGUACAGUAGAGGUGGGCGGAAUUCGUAGUGUAGCGGUGAAAUGCUUAGAUAUCACGAAGAACUACGAUUGCGAAGGCAGCCUACUAAACUGCCACUGACAUUGAUGCUCGAAAGUGUGGGUAUCAAACAGGAUUAGAUACCCUUGUAGUC